rnacentral:misc_RNA from 1 species
AAGUCGUAACAAGGUUUCCGUAGGUGAACCUGCGGAAGGAUCAUUAAAAUACCGAUAUAUAAAACACUGUUUUGGCACAAAACACACCAACAUCAAUUUUAUUUUAUUAUUAUUAUUAGUUUCUUGUUUUUCACUUUUUAUUAUGUGAAUGAAAGAAAAGCAAAAAAAAAAAAAAAUUACAACCAAAACUUUCAACAACGGAUCUCUUGGUUCUC